UACGCAGGGUGCAAGCGUUAAUCGGAAUUACUGGGCGUAAAGCGUGCGCAGGCGGUUUUGUAAGUCUGUCGUGAAAUCCCCGGGCUCAACCUGGGAAUUGCGAUGGAGACUGCAAGGCUAGAAUCUGGCAGAGGGGGGUAGAAUUCCACGUGUAGCAGUGAAAUGCGUAGAUAUCUGGAGGAACACCGGUGGCGAAGGCGGCAUCCUGGACCGGUAUUGACGCUGAGGCGCGAAAGCUAGGGGAGCAAACGGG
rnacentral:rRNA from 1 species